UCUCCGCCCAGUCUCUGCUCCAUCCCUGCCGAGUGAACGAGAUCUUUGGUUUUGCCUUUGCUGACUGCUGAUCUGAUCGUCUCAAGUCUGGUGACCUGCUGCAGAAUACCCUCUCCCUCUAUCAUUAACAAGCAAUUCAGUCUGUCCUAUCACUCUCCCUCUCCCUGCUCCAUCUUUUUGACAAGCCAUUCUAUCUUCUAUCAUUUCUCCGCCAUGAGCUCUAUCUAAGUUGACAAGCUUGAACCUGAGUUGAAACGCAAUCCUGUGACUUGAAAUCAAGUUUUACCAGAAUCUAAGUUUUUGGAAUUGAAGUUACCAGAACUUCGUCGAUCUGUUUUCAGAAUUCUGAGAGAUCUCUGCUCUCACUGCUCCAUCUUUCCUGUCGUUAAACUCUCUCACAUCCAGUCAUUUUGCUGGAAAUCACAAGUAGAA
ensembl:lncRNA